rnacentral:rRNA from 1 species
UCUUCGGCAAUGGACGAAAGUCUGACCGAGCAACGCCGCGUGAGUGAAGAAGGUUUUCGGAUCGUAAAGCUCUGUUGUUGUUAAAGAACGUUGAUGAGAGUGGAAAGUUCAUCAAGUGACGGUAAACAACCAGAAAGGGACGGCUAACUACGUGCCAGCAGCCGCGGUAAUACGUAGGUCCCGAGCGUUGUCCGGAUUUAUUGGGCGUAAAGCGAGCGCAGGUGGUUUCUUAAGUCUGGUGUCAAAGGCUACUGCUCAACAGUAGUGUGCAUUGGAAACUGGGAGACUUGAGUGCAGGAGAGGAGAGUGGAAUUCCAUGUGUAGCGGUGAAAUGCGUAGAUAUAUGGAGGAACACCGGAGGCGAAAGCGGCUCUCUGGCCUGUAACUGACACUGAGGCUCGAAAGCGUGGGGAGCAAACAGG